AGAAGAAUGGGGAUGGGCAGCCAUGUUGAGUGAGGGCGGCCUGGCAGUGACGGGAGCCCGAGAGCCCUGGCGUCAGAGAUUCAUCAUCAUCUGGCCAGACUACCAGCCAUGGAUUUCUCUAACCUUAUCAUUCCUCAGAAGGCUGACUUACUCUACUUCUGAGACCAUAUGGAAAGACUUUCCAGUAUGAAAGAACCAGUUUGUACUUGGCUCUCCAGAUUUCAGGAUCACUCCUACUGCAUGAUGAGGCAUCAGAGUGGGACUUCUGUGAAGGACUCUUUUUUUUUCUUUACAGGAAGGUUUCACAAAGGUUUGUUUUCAAACUACAGAGGCAGUGAUUCAUCAAGUCUUUUUACAUCAUUAUAUGAACAAACAUACAGUUCAAUUCUAUGGAAGAGGGCAAAGGAAAAAAAAUGAGCAGAUGGAAAACAUUUGCACCAUUCCACAGCAUUUUAUCAUGAUAUUGGAUAUUUAAAAAAUAAAUGUUUAUUGAUAUCUCA